rnacentral:rRNA from 1 species
UGGUGGAGUGAUUUGUCUGGUUAAUUCCGAUAACGAACGAGACCUUAACCUGCUAAAUAGCUAGGCUGCUUCUUCAGCGGUCGUCAGCUUCUUAGAGGGACUGUUGCGCGAUUAGCCAACGGAAGUUUGAGGCAAUAACA